rnacentral:rRNA from 1 species
GUAGGGAAUUUUCCACAAUGGACGAAAGUCUGAUGGAGCAACGCCGCGUGAACGAUGAAGGUCUUCGGAUUGUAAAGUUCUGUUGUCAGGGACGAAUAAGUACCGUUCGAACAGGGCGGUACCUUGACGGUACCUGACGAGAAAGCCACGGCUAACUACGUGCCAGCAGCCGCGGUAAUACGUAGGUGGCAAGCGUUGUCCGGAAUUAUUGGGCGUAAAGCGCGCGCAGGCGGCUAUGUAAGUCUGGUGUUAAAGCCCGGGGCUCAACCCCGGUUCGCAUCGGAAACUGUGUAGCUUGAGUGCAGAAGAGGAAAGCGGUAUUCCACGUGUAGCGGUGAAAUGCGUAGAGAUGUGGAGGAACACCAGUGGCGAAGGCGGCUUUCUGGUCUGUAACUGACGCUGAGGCGCGAAAGCGUGGGGAGCAAACAGGAUUAGAAACCCCAGUAGUCC